rnacentral:lncRNA from 1 species
AUGAAAACCAGAGAGGCUUUUGUGCAACACAAACAGGGGUUUAUUGUCAGAGAGAAGAGCAGCAGUGGAGCACAGGGAAUCCAGGCAAUCGCAGGGGCAGCAGGGGAUGCAGGAUUCGUGCUCUGGGAGCAGGGCCUCGCUCAGGACCAGGAUACAGCAAGGGGAUGGAGGGCUCAGGGUAUCCCGAGGGGAUGGGGGGCUCAGGGCAUUCCCGAGGAGACAGGGGGCUCAGGGUAUCCCAAGGGGACCGGGCUGAGCUCCAGGGCUGCCACUGCCCCUGGGGGCUGGCACUGCCAGGGGGGCUUUAGAAAACCCCACAGCUCCCGCGGCGGGACCUGCCCCAUCUCUGGAAGCCAGGCAGGGAAUAGCCCAGGCCCCGGGAGGAGAAGCCGGAGCUGUAGGACCUCCCGCCAUUGCCAAAGGAGCCCCCAUAGCCCCCGAGGGAGCCCCCAUAGCCAAUGUCACCUCCAUAACCCAGGGAACGGCCGUAGCCAAGGGAGCCCCCAUAUCCAAGGGAGUCCCCAUAGCCCUGGGAGCCCCCAUAGCCCCCACAGCUUCCCAGGCCAAAGGAGCCCCCAUAGCCCCGGGAGCCCCCAUAUCCAAGGGAGCCCCCAUAGCCCUGGGAGCCCUCAUAGCCCUGGGAGCCCCCGUAGCCUGAGAAGCCCCCAUAGCCCCGGGAACCCCCAUAACCUCCAGAGCCAAAGGAGCCCCCAUAGCCCCGGGAGCCCCCAUAGCCCAGGGAGCCCCUGUAACCCCCAUAACCUCCCAGCCCAAAGGAGCUCCCAUAGCCCUGGGAGCUCCGGGAACUGAAGGAACACCCCAACCAGGCUGGGCCUGACGAUGCCACAACGCUCUCCUGAGGGAAGGUGCUGAGGAUGGGGCCCGGGAUGGUCACCACCACCGGUGGGGGCUGGAUCAGGGCUCUGGAGUCGGGGCACUGCUGCACACAGGGCUCGUUGAUGCUCUCGGCGAUGGGCUGAGGGCAGCUCACACCACAGGACUCGCUGGAGCAGGACAUUCUUCUGUGCUGGGAGGCUGCAACACACACCAGGAAACAGAUUUCAGAUCCUGAAAUUUCCACCUGACUCUGCCUGUGCUUUCCAAUGGAAAUUUUGAGGGCUCAGAGUUCAUUGCCUUCCAAAUCUGAUCUUUAUCUGACCACAGAAAUCACAUUCUAGACUCUUCUGUCAGGAUCCCUGAGAUGUCACUCACAGAUGAAGACAUCUGGUGUAAUCUCUGGUGAUUCCUACACCAAUUAUACCGUGACAAGUCUCCUUUCAUCUCUUUAUAAAUUUAUUAAGAGCAGCUGAAAUCUAGCAAUGUAUCUAUAACAAGUUAAGAAGUUUCAGAUACAAACCAGCAGUUUUUAUUGUUUCAUAUUCCUUCCCAAGUAGCCCUCAGCUUCCAAACCAGAAAAUUUACCCUUCUGGAAGAAAUAUUCCCACAAGGUGGGAAUGAUCACUCAAAUCCUUUUAAAUUUUAUAGUCACGCACUGGAACUAAAAUGCCUGGGAAAUGGUUAUUCCAGGUGGCAUGGUAAGAAUUUACCUUUUAUUCUCUAACAGCCUUCUGAGACCCACGGUUUUUAAAUCUACCAAUCCAUAACAUUAAUGAAUUGGAUGGGAAAAAAGGAUAGAGAAGGAUAGAGGAGUUCAAAUUGGACUUACCCUGUUCACCAAGGCGAAUAACUCGGGAGAUGUGGAUGGAGAGGCUCCGAGUCGUGACAGCUUUUAUACAUUUCCCAAAGUGCUUACAGGGACGAAACACCCUCUGUGCCUCAGGUCCCGCACAGCAGCAAAACAACCCUCACAUGGAGGGAUUUAAUUCUGCUGGCUUUGCACUGCCACUCCCCACGCGCAAAAAUGGGCGUGAG